rnacentral:rRNA from 1 species
GAGUUUGAUCCUGGCUCAGGACGAACGCUGGCGGCGUGCCUAACACAUGCAAGUCGAACGGAACUGUUUUGAAAGAUUUCUUCGGAAUGAAUUUGAUUUAGUUUAGUGGCGGACGGGUGAGUAACGCGUGGGUAACCUGCCCUGUACAGGGGGAUAACAGCCAGAAAUGGCUGCUAAUACCGCAUAAGCGCACAGAACCGCAUGGUUCGGUGUGAAAAACUCCGGUGGUAUAAGAUGGACCCGCGUUGGAUUAGCUAGUUGGCAGGGCAGCGGCCUACCAAGGCGACGAUCCAUAGCCGGCCUGAGAGGGUGAGCGGCCACAUUGGGACUGAGACACGGCCCAGACUCCUACGGGAGGCAGCAGUGGGGAAUAUUGCACAAUGGGGGAAACCCUGAUGCAGCGACGCCGCGUGAAGGAAGAAGUAUCUCGGUAUGUAAACUUCUAUCAGCAGGGAAGAUAAUGACGGUACCUGACUAAGAAGCCCCGGCUAACUACGUGCCAGCCGCCGCGGUAAUUC